ACAGUCCAAAAGCCGCGAAGCUCGCACCGAACAGGACGCUUUGAUGCAUCUUUCCUCGCGAGCGGGCUAAGGUCUGAGUAUUUCCUCCGCGAUUGUCCCUAGCCUGGGACCGGCCGUCACCGGUCGAGAGACGAAUCAGCAAUUCGGGUUGGCCGAUUUCGUGUACUCCCGACGAACCUCGGAAGAGGAAGGGUCAAGAAUCUGGUCAUCGGCCCUUGGAAGUAUCGUCUCGAGGAUGUGAGAUGUCCGCGUCAUGUCCUCGUCUCUGGUCACCGUGGCGUGGUGCCCUCUGGGGCGCCGCGCGCGAGUAUUGACGAUGGCACGACGAUCACGGGUCCCACCGUGCCCCUCGAAUGACACGGUGACAGGGCGGGGCGGGCUUUUUCAGGCAGGGGUUGCCCCAGCUGGGGGCUCUGGCGCGUUUGGAUGUCUUCACUUCAGUGCACUUCGCGGCUCGCAGUUUCUGCGAAACUCGAUUCAGACUACUCUUGGACUGU
rnacentral:RNase_P_RNA from 2 species